UACGUAGGGACCAAGCGUUGUUCGGAUUUACUGGGCGUAAAGGGCGCGUAGGCGGCAAUUCAAGUCAUCUGUGAAAUCUCCGGGCUUAACCCGGAACGGUCAGGUGAUACUGUUUUGCUAGAGUGCGGAAGGGGCAAUCGGAAUUCUCGGUGUAGCGGUGAAAUGCGUAGAUAUCAGGAGGAACACCAAUGGCGAAGGCAGCUCGCUGGGACGGUACUGACGCUGAGACGUGAAAGCGUGGGGAGCAAACAGG
rnacentral:rRNA from 1 species